CCAGACUGAAGGCCCAUGGUUAUGAUUUUUUGUUUGAUUCAGAAUAGGGUGGUGAGUAAGCAAAACUAGGGUGUAAGGAGUAAAGACUCUUUGGGCUUAUGCUUCGAAGCCCAACGUGAAUGAGGGUAAAGGGUGGAGAAACCUCAUAUUUUAAUUCAUUUAAAUUUUCCUCCAUCAAACACGCUCCUCUCCCUCUCUUAUACUCCUCUUUUCCGGAAAUCACUCCGUCGCGCUGGAGGCGGCGGAGGAACCCAGAACCACGCCAAAUUACCACCAAUGGAACCCUAUUGUCCUCCUAUCUCUAUGUCUCACCUUUAAAUAACCUAAUUUCCACUGGAUUCUCUCAUCCUCCAUAAAAAUGUCAAGAACCCUAACUCUUUAAACUGAAAUUGAAUGCUAACCCUAUGUCAAUAUGAGCCCAAACCAUAGGCUUCUGCUUGUCAAUUCAAGGCUACAUAGUGGUAACUAGAUUGAAGCCAAUCAUGAAGAAUGGAAGGUUAUGAGCUUACCGUGGAGGUAUGCUCUGGAAGAUGUUGGGGAGGUUGAAGAAGAAGAUGCAGAGAAAAUACCAGAGGAUGCGCCAACAGGGAUGAUGUUCAUUUGGUGGGGUGAAACUUGGCUUGGCAUGACAUCAUCAAGAUUUGGCAAGGCAUAAUCAAGAAUGGGCACUAAGGAGGAUGCUUCGUAUGAAUCAUGAAUAAAUGUUGGAUAACUUGAAGAACUUGAUUGCACAAAUGGAGAAUCAAGGAGGAUGAAGACCAAAGAGGGAUUAGUAUUUAGUUUGACUUUGUUCAACUGUUUGACCAAAAGUCAACAGUUGACCAAAAGUCAACCCUAGGUCAAAAAUGAGUUUUUUGUAUGUAAUUUGAGAUUUUGAUUUUUGUAAUGACUUCUUUGAUCUUGUAAUGAGAUUCUUCGCCUUUGAAUGCAAUUGUAACUUGUUUUCCAAGAUAA